UUGUAACAGGUCAAAAUGAACUGUUUAUUGAAAAUUCAUAUAUUUUCAUUACUCUUAAUAAUUCGUCUGUAAGUAAUAGAUGCCUUUAGAGGAAGUGCACAAGAAGUAGUAAAAAAAUAGAAAUGUUAAACAAUCUUCAUGCUUUUUAGGAAGUAUGAUUCACACUCUUUCUGGGUAAGAGUGAUGCUGAAUGGUCUUUGGGUCAAAACAUCACAUUCCAGAGCUAUGAGCUUGUAUGACGUAGAUCAUUAUGGUCAAGGCUUAGCAUCUGUGAAUGGAGAGUGAUGACUGCAUAAAAGGGAGAGAGGAGUUUGCUCCAAUUCACUCCUGCACUGCACCCCAUUCAUGGGGCAGGCAGAGAGGCUUCUUCAUUUUCGGGUCAGAAUUAUAGGUAUUUGACAUGACAUUCGUGUAGCGGGUGAGGCUAUCACGAGAGGAAAUAAUAUGGUCCUCUAGGCCAGAUUGCCAGGGGUUUUUUUUAUUUCUUUAUCUUUUGUUCCUGUACUUGGAAAUUGUGGAAUUUUGUAUAUAACGACUCAUCGAUAUUAAACGAACCGAAACACAAGGAAUGGUGUCGUGUGUCAUCUUUCUGCAUCAGUUUCCGUGUGUUACAAGUGGCGUUGUCAGCAGGAUCGAUGUUCGUCGUUGGAUACAACCAAGUUCAAACCCUGACAAUCUGAGGAGCUCAUCCGUGGACAUCUUGAUUUGUAAAUAUGAACGUAGCUUUAACACUGUUUAAGAUGUAUUUGUGUGUGUGCAUAGUGUGAAUGCUGUAGCCAAAAUGUA